rnacentral:rRNA from 1 species
GACGAACGCUGGCGGCGUGCUUAACACAUGCAAGUCGAACGGAAAGGCCCUGCUUUUGUGGGGUGCUCGAGUGGCGAACGGGUGAGUAACACGUGAGUAACCUGCCCUUGACUUUGGGAUAACUUCAGGAAACUGGGGCUAAUACCGGAUAGGAGCUCCUGCUGCAUGGUGGGGGUUGGAAAGUUUCGGCGGUUGGGGAUGGACUCGCGGCUUAUCAGCUUGUUGGUGGGGUAGUGGCUUACCAAGGCUUUGACGGGUAGCCGGCCUGAGAGGGUGACCGGCCACAUUGGGACUGAGAUACGGCCCAGACUCCUACGGGAGGCAGCAGUGGGGAAUAUUGCACAAUGGGCGGAAGCAUGAUGCAGCAACGCCGCGUGCGGGAUGACGGCCUUCGGGUUGUAAACCGCUUUCGACUGUGACGAAGAGUGAGUGACGGUAAUGGGUAAAGAAGCACCGGCUAACUACGUG